GUGGGGUUAUGGCAGACCUCCUGUCACUUUUGAUGGCCAAUGGAGUCAAGAGGAUAGUUUUGCUGAUGGAAGAUAACAAAUAGUAGGUAAUGGUAGCACAAAAUGACUUCAGCCACAAAAAGGCCCAAGAUUAAUUGUCAUCACGUCCAUUGUAACCAAGCUAUCCACCAAGGUGAAAGGCCCCUUCACACUGGAUGAAUACAAAUGAAUCUAAUAAGUUAUAUGUAUGCGUAUGUAUCUGUUUGCCAGUCUGCAGAAACAAUUUAAUACCAUCACACUGAAAGAAAAGAGAAUCCAGACAACAAGAAUAUCAUCACAAACUUCAUCAGGCACCUGAGUGAAUCUCUCAUUUUCCGAUGCAUGUGUUUGAUGAGCACUAGAUGCAUCUGGAACCUAUAUAUUAUAAAAAGUUGAAAGAUAUAAAAUUAAUUAUAAAUAAUAAUCAAUUAAUAUAUAAUAUAAAUCUAACUAAAUAAAUAAAUCAUACCUGUCCACUACUGGAUGGCACCGAACGAGGAGUACCUACUGGGCUAUGCGCAAAAGAUCCACUCGCCAUCUGAGCACGCAUCUGAUGGAGCUGUGCCUCCAAGUAGAAAAUCUUAUCAUCAAACUCAGUUCGAAGCUCAUCUUGAAUCCUCCUAAUGGUCUCCUCUGAUGGUGCCUGAUUAGAUUGCUGAUACAAACGUCGCUUUGUCAUGCUUGAACUCCAAGUACGCAUCCGUCCAUGUCCAUCUUCUCCCAUCACCUCUACAAAGAUACGAUCUUUUAGUUCUGGUGUGCGCUCAUCCUCAGGUACCUCCUCAAGUCAUCGUUUCAUCUCCUCCUAUAAUAAAAAAUUAUAAUAUUGACAUUAAUAUAUAAAAUAUACUAUAUGUAAUGAGAAUUUAAAUUAUGUACUUACUAUACACUCUUGUGCAUCCGCAUCGAUGACACCCU
rnacentral:lncRNA from 1 species